UAAUACGGAGGAUCCAAGCGUUAUCCGGAAUCAUUGGGUUUAAAGGGUCCGUAGGCGGUUUAGUAAGUCAGUGGUGAAAGCCCAUCGCUCAACGGUGGAACGACCAUUGAUACUGCUAGACUUGAAUUAUUAGGAAGUAACUAGAAUAUGUAGUGUAGCGGUGAAAUGCUUAGAGAUUACAUGGAAUACCAAUUGCGAAGGCAGGUUACUACUAAUUGAUUGACGCUGAUGGACGAAAGCGUGGGUAGCGAACAGGAUUAGAUACCCUGGUAGUCCACGCCGUAAACGAUGGAUACUAGCUGUUGGGCGCAAGUUCAGUGGCUAAGCGAAAGUGAUAAGUAUCCCACCUGGGGAGUACGUUCGCAAGAAUGAAACUCAAAGGAAUUGACGGGGGCCCGCACAAGCGGUGGAGCAUGUGGUUUAAUUCGAUGAUACGCGAGGAACCUUACCAAGGCUUAAAUGUAGAUUGACCGGUUUGGAAACAGACUUUUCGCAAGACAAUUUACAAGGUGCUGCAUGGUUGUCGUCAGCUCGUGCCGUGAGGUGUCAGGUUAAGUCCUAUAACGAGCGCAACCCCUGUUGUUAGUUGCCAUCGAGUGAAGUCGGGAACUCUAACAAGACUGCCAGUGUAAACUGAGAGGAAGGUGGGGAUGACGUCAAAUCAUCACGGCCCUUACGCCUUGGGCUACACACGUGCUACAAUGGCCGGUACAGAGAGCAGCCACUGGGUGACCAGGAGCGAAUCUAUAAAGCCGGUCACAGUUCGGAUCGGAGUCUGCAACUGGACUCCGUGAAGCUGGAAUCGCUAGUAAUCGGAUAUCAGCCAUGAUCCGGUGAAUACGUUCCCGGCCCUUGUACACACCGCCCGUCAAGCCAUGGAAGCUGGGGGUGCCUGAAGUCGGUGACCGCAAGGAGCUGCUUAGGGUAAGUUUUU
rnacentral:rRNA from 1 species